UAACUCUUGACCUCGGAUCAGGUAGGGAUACCCGCUGAACUUAAGCAUAUCAAUAAGCGGAGGAA
rnacentral:rRNA from 1 species